GGCUCAGGAUGAACGCUAGCUACAGGCUUAACACAUGCAAGUCGAGGGGCAGCAUUUUAGUUUGCUUGCAAACUAAAGAUGGCGACCGGCGCACGGGUGAGUAACACGUAUCCAACCUGCCGAUAACUCGGGGAUAGCCUUUCGAAAGAAAGAUUAAUAUCCGAUAGCAUAUUGAGAUCGCAUGAUUUUGAUAUUAAAGAAUUUCGGUUAUCGAUGGGGAUGCGUUCCAUUAGUUUGUUGGCGGGGUAACGGCCCACCAAGACUACGAUGGAUAGGGGUUCUGAGAGGAAGGUCCCCCACAUUGGAACUGAGACACGGUCCAAACUCCUACGGGAGGCAGCAGUGAGGAAUAUUGGUCAAUGGACGAGAGUCUGAACCAGCCAAGUAGCGUGAAGGAUGACUGCCCUAUGGGUUGUAAACUUCUUUUAUAUGGGAAUAAAGUAUUCCACGUGUGGGAUUUUGUAUGUACCAUAUGAAUAAGGAUCGGCUAACUCCGUGCCAGCAGCCGCGGUAAUACGGAGGAUCCGAGCGUUAUCCGGAUUUAUUGGGUUUAAAGGGAGCGUAGGUGGAUUGUUAAGUCAGUUGUGAAAGUUUGCGGCUCAACCGUAAAAUUGCAGUUGAAACUGGCAGUCUUGAGUACAGUAGAGGUGGGCGGAAUUCGUGGUGUAGCGGUGAAAUGCUUAGAUAUCACGAAGAACUCCGAUUGCGAAGGCAGCUCACUAGACUGCAACUGACACUGAUGCUCGAAAGUGUGGGUAUCAAACAGGAUUAGAUACCCUGGUAGUCCACACAGUAAACGAUGAAUACUCGCUGUUUGCGAUAUACAGUAAGCGGCCAAGCGAAAGCAUUAAGUAUUCCACCUGGGGAGUACGCCGGCAACGGUGAAACUCAAAGGAAUUGACGGGGGCCCCGCACAAGCGGAGGGACAUGUGGUUUAAUUCGAUGAUACGCGAGGAACCUUACCCGGGCUUAAAUUGCAAAUGAAUAAUCUGGAAACAGGUUAGCCGCAAGGCAUUUGUGAAGGUGCUGCAUGGUUGUCGUCAGCUCGUGCCGUGAGGUGUCGGCUUAAGUGCCAUAACGAGCGCAACCCUUAUCUUUAGUUACUAACAGGUCAUGCUGAGGACUCUAGGGAGACUGCCGUCGUAAGAUGUGAGGAAGGUGGGGAUGACGUCAAAUCAGCACGGCCCUUACGUCCGGGGCUACACACGUGUUACAAUGGGGGGUACAGAAGGCAGCUACCUGGCGACAGGAUGCUAAUCCCAAAAACCUCUCUCAGUUCGGAUCGAAGUCUGCAACCCGACUUCGUGAAGCUGGAUUCGCUAGUAAUCGCGCAUCAGCCAUGGCGCGGUGAAUACGUUCCCGGGCCUUGUACACACCGCCCGUCAAGCCAUGAAAGCCGGGGGUACCUGAAGUACGUAACCGCAAGGAGCGUCCUAGGGUAAAACUGGU
rnacentral:rRNA from 1 species